UACGUAGGGUGCGAGCGUUAAUCAGAAUUACUGGGCGUAAAGCGUGCGCAGGCGGUUAUGUAAGACAGAUGUGAAAUCCCCGGGCUCAACCUGGGACCUGCAUUUGUGACUGCAUAUCUAGAGUACGGUAGAGGGGGAUGGAAUUCCGCGUGUAGCAGUGAAAUGCGUAUAUAUGCAGAGGAACACCGAUGGCGAAGGCUAUCCCCUGGACCUGUACUGACGCUCAUGCACGAAAGCGUGGGGAGCACACAGG
rnacentral:rRNA from 1 species